AUUGAACGCUGGCGGCAUGCCUUACACAUGCAAGUCGAACGGCAGCACGGAGCUUGCUCUGGUGGCGAGUGGCGAACGGGUGAGUAAUAUAUCGGAACGUACCCUAGAGUGGGGGAUAACGUAGCGAAAGUUACGCUAAUACCGCAUACGAUCUAAGGAUGAAAGUGGGGGAUCGCAAGACCUCAUGCUCGUGGAGCGGCCGAUAUCUGAUUAGCUAGUUGGUAGGGUAAAAGCCUACCAAGGCAUCGAUCAGUAGCUGGUCUGAGAGGACGACCAGCCACACUGGAACUGAGACACGGUCCAGACUCCUACGGGAGGCAGCAGUGGGGAAUUUUGGACAAUGGGCGAAAGCCUGAUCCAGCAAUGCCGCGUGAGUGAAGAAGGCCUUCGGGUUGUAAAGCUCUUUUGUCAGGGAAGAAACGGUGAAAGCUAAUAUCUUUUGCUAAUGACGGUACCUGAAGAAUAAGCACCGGCUAACUACGUGCCAGCAGCCGCGGUAAUACGUAGGGUGCAAGCGUUAAUCGGAAUUACUGGGCGUAAAGCGUGCGCAGGCGGUUUUGUAAGUCUGAUGUGAAAUCCCCGGGCUCAACCUGGGAAUUGCAUUGGAGACUGCAAGGCUAGAAUCUGGCAGAGGGGGGUAGAAUUCCACGUGUAGCAGUGAAAUGCGUAGAUAUGUGGAGGAACACCGAUGGCGAAGGCAGCCCCCUGGGUCAAGAUUGACGCUCAUGCACGAAAGCGUGGGGAGCAAACAGGAUUAGAUACCCUGGUAGUCCACGCCCUAAACGAUGUCUACUAGUUGUCGGGUCUUAAUUGACUUGGUAACGCAGCUAACGCGUGAAGUAGACCGCCUGGGGAGUACGGUCGCAAGAUUAAAACUCAAAGGAAUUGACGGGGACCCGCACAAGCGGUGGAUGAUGUGGAUUAAUUCGAUGCAACGCGAAAAACCUUACCUACCCUUGACAUGGCUGGAAUCCUUGAGAGGUCAGGGAGUGCUCGAAAGAGAACCAGUACACAGGUGCUGCAUGGCUGUCGUCAGCUCGUGUCGUGAGAUGUUGGGUUAAGUCCCGCAACGAGCGCAACCCUUGUCAUUAGUUGCUACGAAAGGGCACUCUAAUGAGACUGCCGGUGACAAACCGGAGGAAGGUGGGGAUGACGUCAAGUCCUCAUGGCCCUUAUGGGUAGGGCUUCACACGUCAUACAAUGGUACAUACAGAGCGCCGCCAACCCGCGAGGGGGAGCUAAUCGCAGAAAGUGUAUCGUAGUCCGGAUUGUAGUCUGCAACUCGACUGCAUGAAGUUGGAAUCGCUAGUAAUCGCGGAUCAGCAUGUCGCGGUGAAUACGUUCCCGGGUCU
rnacentral:rRNA from 1 species